UAUAGAACUCUUAAAUAUCUCUUUCGGUUUUAGAUGGUGUGAAAAGAGCAACGUUCUGGACAUGAAGAAAGGAUGCGCAUUGGGUUGUAAAAUAUUAUUGCCACCGGCGAAUGGCAGCAAGGAGUAUGUGGCUGGCGGUAACUAGACCAUCGCUAUGCCACCAGCCCAGCCAGGUGAAUCGGUUCCCACAAUGCCGUGCCUGGAACCAUGCGGUUUACUCAUUGCCUAAGGAAACGACUUUACUUCUUGUUCCAUGGCGCUAAACUAAUCUCAAAUAUAGAAACAGACACAGAAGCGUUGGCGAAUCACUGCGUCAAUGGAUCGCUCACAGGUCUACGGAGAAAGAUAGACGCCCUUAUCGCGUGUCUCUCCCGAAGGAGAGUAAAAAAUAAGAGAAGGGAACCGGCGUGUAUAUCGAUUUAUUUUACUAGCCGUCGUCAAGGAACUGCAUUUCAAUAUUAUCGCAUGAUAAGGUUACGUUACACACUUUAUUGCCGUCGUUGUCCGAAUCUCUCGGAUGAUUCUUGUCCCUGCUCACAAUUAGCAAAAAAAGAAAAAAGAUACAAACGACUCGUGUUCCUGUCACCGCUUACAAGCUUAUCGAAAAAUGAAUAGUUUAUUUAAAACACUAUUACUUAGAUAAAGGACAAGAGUUUAAGAGUUUAAGAUUUACUUCAUUUUUGACAAGCGGCUCAUAUUGCGGCAUCAUCUUUAGAAAAUUGUUUUUUACCGUCAAAAUUUCUUUCCAUUCGGGAAUAACUUUCUUGAACUUUGCUAAAUGUUUACUAUAUAUAACACACAUACACAAUUGUUCUUGGCAAGGUUUCAUCUCGGUUAGUAUGAUUUUUAAUGUGCGGCACGUGGAGGAAUCAUCCACGAUAAAACUAUCGCCAGACAGUUUUUGCACAUCCUGUCUUAUCAAGCCAAAGUUUUCCGCUAACUUACUAUCUUUCCAUGUUUUUAUUCAUAAAUUUUUUACGGAUCGGCAAAAAAGUGGUCUUUUAUUUUAAUACGAUUCUUGAAUUUAAAUAUUCUUAAUCAUAUAUUCAUAAUAACUCCAAUUAUAUUGAAUGUAAAAAAUCGGAGAAUCGAGUAAAAGAAAAAAUUGCAACAUAAAAUAUUACUUUUCUCUAGCAAUGAAUAUAAUGAAGUGAAAUUAUUUAUUUAUUGCUGUAGAAACUAAAUUAAAUGCAAUAGUCGUAAUAAGGAUCUAUGUCGAACACGAAAAUGAUUAAUUAAGAAUUCAUUUAACGAUAAAAUUGCUUGUUCAGCGAUGUUGACGCGAAUAUUUAUCUUCUCAAAUAAAGCGGUCGAGUGCAAUAUAUUUGGAAGAAAAAAGAGGAAAAUUUAAAAGGAGAAGGAAGACAAUACUGGUGAACAGAUUUCUCUCUCUCUCUCUCUCUCUCUCUCUCUCUUUCUUUUUUUUUGUAUAAUUUUCUUUCCUUUUCUCUCUCUUAUUUUGUUUUUUCACGAACUGGUGAUCCCAAGCUGCCAAAGUCCGUCAGCAUAUGUUGCCCCCGGGUCAUUCUUCCAUCUAUAAACGAGGCAUUAUUUACAGUAUUGCGCGUGCAUCGCAUCGCGAAAAGAUUACAAGUUUCACCAGCCAACGAGCGAUUCGUUUGCGAGACACCCUCGCUGUAUGCACAUUACAUUGUACGAGCAAAGAACGCGAUUUCCAGCGAAUGAUCGAAUGAUACGAUCGCAAUGAUGUAUACAUAAUCAUUACUUCCUUUGUCAUAUAGUAUAUCGGAUCGGAAGAUGCUUAAAGAUUUGACAAAUACCUCGGAGGUCUCUCUCUUUGUUUUUAGAAAAUUAUUUUUUAUUAUAAAAAUGCUGCAAAUAGUAAAAGAUUUUAAAUAUUGUUUAUGCAAACUUUUAUUUUUAGUAUUUGUAGUUUUCUUUGUAUCAAGACUUUGAUGAUCGGUCCUAAUUGAUCUUCAUGUGAACAAUAUAUUUUAUAUUUAACAAAUCAGUGAAGAGCAGGAGAUCUGUAUGUAUUAGUUGCAAAAUUUAUUACAAUGAUUAUUAUGGUUUGA